rnacentral:lncRNA from 1 species
UAUCCCCUAUCAUCCACUGUUGUGAAUAAUCAAGGUUUAGGUAACAAAUAGAACAUUGUUGCAAGAAAGCAUUUGAACUCUCAAUGGUUAUUUAUUCAUUCUGACAUAUACAGAAACAUUUAUUCCUCUUUCCCAAAUACAGAAACAAUGAAAUUCAGGAAAAGACUUGGGUACCUAAAUUAAGGCAAAAUACCAAGAUUGAGAGCAGACCCUGAAGUCCACAGCCAACCUUUCCCAGACAUUCUCUUUAGACCUCUAUGGAUGUCAACAUAGCAGACUUACUCAGAAAGGUGCAUGAGCUCAUUCCUAGGCUGACUUCUUGUCAUCUUUGUCUCUUUUUAUGCUUCUAAUGGCAAUUACCUAUACAAAACUGACAUACCAUGGAACAGU